GAGUGGGAGGAGAGGAGGAAGGGGUGUCCCAUCGCGGCCCGGACGGCCGCACUUAUCUUCUCGCAGCCCCAGGCCCAGGCCCACCAUGGCCCUCGCCGGCCCCUAUCCUAGGUGGGGGAUGCCCAGGACACUGCAGCUUCCCUCGCCCCCUGGAACAGGGGCAGCCUCUCCCUCAGCGCGGGGAGAGGGGCUGGGGACUCCCGCGGCCCCGGAGCCGGAUGGGAGUUGUAGUCCGCUCCCUCCCUGGGAUGCCGGCCUCUCGGCACCCCCUCCAAAAAACUGGCUAGUUUCUGAUUUAAUGUUGUUUGCAUCGUUACAGCCGACCUGGGAGACCGGUAGGUGAGGCAGGGAUGGUUACACCCAUUUGGCAGAUGGACACACUGAGGCUUGGGAAGGACGAAGGUGAAUUGAGGGCUGAGGGUGAGGAAGCCUCGCAGCUAGACCCUGGAGUGGGGCGGGGCUGGUAAUGUCACCACAGGCUUUUUAAGCCUGGGAGGCCCGCCUGGAACGUGAGGGCCAAGGAGAGGUCGAGGCUGGGUUGGAGGAGGUGGGAAAGGGGAGGGACUGACUCUGUCCAGUGAUAUUUCUGACUUCUGUCCAGCUGUCUUCCGCUGGGCUGGACCAGACGCCAUGGGGCUGUGGGGCUGUCCAAGAGGAGGGACCAAAGGGUGGGGCAUUUUAGUGGCUUCAGACAACAAAUUCUUCCAUUAAAAAAUCUCUUUGGAGAUUCGCCUCCCCCCUCAGAUGGGGACCUUCUUGAGUCCGUACAGGGUUAAUUUGCCAGUGUUGAGGGGGGAGGCGCUCUAUGAAGUUCUGAGGAGCUGAACUGAGCGUCCCUAGCAGCACACGGGGGGCUUCCCCCAGGGUCUCCCAUUUGAUCUCCUCAGAGACUUGCGCUGUGGCAGCGCCCAAGGUCUGUGCAAUGGGCUGUCUCACCCAAGUCAGUCAGGUGGGGGAGGGGAGUCAGGAUUGAAACCCAGAUCUGAGGAUGCUGUCAUUGCCUCUGUGUCUCCUGGCAGGGGGUGAGGGACAAGGGUCUGGAUGGUGUGUUGAGCCCUCCCUGCUCUCACCUGAAGCGUUCUAGGCCCUCCUUAAGGGGGCGGGGCAGGGAAAGGGCCCACAGGAAGGGUUCCCACCCUCUGAAGCCACAGGAGGGCGCCAGAGACCAGAGGAGGGCCAGGUGCUCAGGACAGGACCAACUAGUUCCAUUUCCUGGGGAGCAAAAGGUAGGGAGAGGGUCCAGGGUGGAAGAUGGGCCAUUCCUCCUCCGCCCCUCUUGGACACCCUGAUCCCCCGCCUCCACCCUACCAUGCCCCCCAGGAUCAGCAGUCAAGGGCCACCUGGUGAGGCCUCUGGGUCCCAGCUCACUCCCUGUGUGACCUUUAGCCGCUCUGAAUGCCAAGUUGUCAAACAAGUCCAUCAUCCCCUGGCCUUUCAGACUCUGCCCCCACAUAGUACAGCAGAGGGAAAACGGAGCCCCAGACAGCAAGAACUGUGUCCUGCUGGGGUCUUCAUGGGGCGGAGCUGCGACUGGCCCUCGGCACUCCACGCCCAUCUGGUACAUGAUUCUAUUUGGUCCUGUAUUCGUUUUUUGUCACAUCCUUGUUCCAAGCCUCAGUUUCCUUGUCUAUAAAAGGGGGUCGGGUCAGACUCCCUACCCAUUGCUUUGCAGUUGUAAGGCCAGAAUGCCCCUCAAGACUCAUUCUGUUCCAGCCUCGACAAGCAGCCAGUCCUCCCCUGCUGUCAGAAACAGCUCCGGCACUUGGGCCUGCUUUGCUAAGCAGAUCUGUUCUCUGAUCCUGUGUGUGGGGCCCUGGACCAGUGGGUGGGUGGGUGCUCCAGGGAUGAGUGAGUCUGAGCAAGAGACCUCCACCAUCCCCUUCUUCCCACCGCGUCCUUAUUCACACUCCUCUGGUCACUGGUCACUGCUUCCUGGAGGGCCACCUCCUCCAUAACCUCUCUCCCCUCUGAGCCCCUUUGGCAUUGAGGUGCUGGCAUUAGCUCUCACCCAGCCCUGAGGGCAGCAGACUUGCAUUCCUAUGUGCUUCUUAGCAUUUCAAAGUGAAUGCAGAUCUGUUAUCUUCACAAGGGCCCUGCCAGAAGGAGGAAGUUAUUUCCCUCCCUUAUUAACAGAUUAAUACCUUCAGGAUGGGGAGGUGGGAGGUGGGAGGUGGGUGGUGGGUAGUGCCAGCCUCAAGCUCCUUACCCAGGUUCCAGGCCUAGGCCAGUGCCUGGCAGCAGAAGGGCAGCGUGUGGCAUCCAGACUCUGGGGACGGGACAGGGGAAGGCCAGACUGCGGUGGACUCGAUUUAUGUAGGCUUCCGAGGAAAGUCUUAGACGGUGAGAAAAGGGAACUGCCAGUUUAAUGACCCAGGCCUGGCAGAAGGGAAGGACGGUUCAGAUGAGGGGGGGACCCCAAAGAGGAGGCAGGUGAGAGCCCAGGGGAAAGCAGGGAAGCCAGGUUUUCUGACCCCCAUAGCAUAGGCCUCUGGGUCUGGGAGGGGCCCAGACACAAGGCAGGCUCCAGGGUCUGUCACAUCUGUACCCACAUCUUAGGCCUCCAGACCCUGGUCUGUGGCUCCCCUUUCCCCAAGGUCAAGGUUCAGCGCAGAUGGCUGAGGGUGAGCCCCUCCCAGCCCUGCCCCCCGAACCUGCUCUCAGCAUAUAGUCCCGCAGGGCUGACUAGAAUGGCAGGCUGCCCCUGCCCUUGGCCACGACGGAAGUGCAGCGCCCCACUCCUGGCCCAGGAGCCAGAGAACAAGGAGAAGCGGCUGUGGGAUCCUACAGCCCUGCCUACUGUUGAGUGACUUCUGCCUCUCUGGGUCUCUGUCUGUGUACGCAAUAGAGAACUGCCCCAGCUCAGGAGUGGGCGGCAAGUGGUACAGGGAGCGGCCUGCAUAGUGGCUGGAGCUUGUCUCUCUAGGAGGAACACGUGGUUGGAGGGUCGGGAGCUCAUGUAGGGUUGCACUGCUGCUCAGGCCUCCAGGUUUGGCUGAAACGUGUGUAUUCCCUGGCGGUCCAGUGGUUAGGACUCCGCACUUUCACUGCCGAGGGCACGGGUUUAAUCCCUGGUCAGGGAACGAAGAUCCCGCAAGCCGCGAAGAGAAGCAAAAAAAAGUGUGUCUGCUGGGGUGGCUUGCGGGGAGGGGCUGAUGCAGAUGGUGGGGUUGAGGGUCCCCACUCCCCACGCUAGUCCUUGGCAGCCACCCACGCCCACUCCCUGCCCACCCCAGCACACCAAGGUUGUGUCCUUUGAAAGGUCCACACUCCAGAUGGGUGGACAUAUGGUGAUUUCAUCAUCCUGGCUUUUCUUCCAAAAACCUCCUCUGUGCUGCUCUAACACGCCACAGGGGCUCCCAGGCUCCAGGGCCACAGCGGCUGCAGCCCCAUGUGGCUUUAUAAUUAUCAAUCCCUCUGGGAGCACAGGAAGCCAGGCCCAAGCCCCCUCGGCCCCCACCCCUCUGGCCCUUGGGCGCCGCCAAGUCUGCGAGUUGCUUUAGGGAAGGGUGGGUCCUGCCUGCUCUGUUCUGGGAGUUGCGUGGGGAGCUGGACUCCCUGCACCGACCCUCACCCGCACCCUGAUCGGCCUCCCCGAGGUGCUCAGGAAAGGUGGCCGCUCAAGUCUGGCAUCCAUGGGCCCUGCCUCUGGGAAGCAGGGGUCACUGUCUGCAUCGGACAUCUGAGGGGAGAGGAGAGGACGGCUGAGCCCCAGCAAGUGGCAGAGCUGGGAUUCGAACUCCUGCCUGUCUGCCAUGAGGUGCUGCUUUGAAUGCUGAGGGGCAGGACUGAUGGGUGGGCUUCCUAACCUUGCCACAGCCUGGUGGCCUUGAGCAAGUCCUCUGACCAGCCCACGUGAGAUAAUAAGAGGGCACUGGGUGGGAGUCACGAUUAACCCUUGGUUUAUCAAAGAGCAGAAGAAAUGUUUAUUGCUCUCACCCGGAACCUCCAGGUGUAAAACAGAGCUGCCGUGCGGCGCCCGGAGGCAGUGGGUGGGCCCCCGUGUCCCCUGGGCCCUGGGCCCUGAGGUCCCUGGGGCUCGCAGACUUUGUGGCGCCCAAGGGCCAGCGGGGUGGGCAGACUGCCCCAAAGGUCUCUGAUGCCAGGAGCGCUGGCAGCCAGGUGGAGCCCUGUCCUGACCCCAGACCAGCCUCUGAAGAGGGGGCCUUUCACCCAGGGCCCCGGCCAGCUAGGGAGCUGGGGAGGAGGCAAGGGGUGUGGGCUGGUCCCCGGGAGAGUGGUCACACCUUAGUGCACCCCACUGGCCCUCCUGAGCCCCCUUAUGGCCGGGAGAGGACUCCCCCACAGCCUGUAAAACCCCAACCAGGCCCCAAGCUCCGGGGCUGCACGGGGGGCAGAUGCCUGCCCUCGGCCCCUCUUCCAGCCUCAGACCAGCAGUCACUUUCUGGGGCAGCCUUAGGGGGUUCACCGCCCCCUGCCACCUCAUGCUGGGACAUGCAGGGGUGGGGGGACCAGAAGCACAGUCCUGUGUUCUCUUUGUGUUCUAACAGCUUCAACAAGCAUCUCCCUGUCUCGGGUGACCCUGGAAAUUGAGGGGCUGCCCCAAGCUUUCAGGGGCCCGGGCUGGAGUGACGGCAUUUAAGCUUCAAGGUGCGUUUCUCAAACCUGAGUCUACGGCUGCAGACUUUGGGGGAUGAAGUGAGCCAUCAGCUUUGUUUCUCCUUUGAAAGGGUAUUUCCCAUCAGAAGCACAGCGGAGCGCCCCAUCUGGGGUUGAGCUGACCCAGGUUUGAAUCUCCUCCCGUGACACUCGCUCUUCAAGCUCACCUGAGUUCUUGGCUGUGACAUGGAGAGAACGCUGACCUCCUGGGUCACGAGGAUCAGGGUGAACCACGCAAGUGUGGUUAAGCCACUGCACCGUAAACAGUGAAUUCCAAUCGAGGACACGGUGUGGGAUGGUGGGCCGAGGCUGCAGGUUAACAUGGCCAGUUCCUGGAGACUCGGGCCCAGCAGAGGCCUAGCGAGCAGCACUAGGAGGGUGGGCCGGGGUCAGAGGUCAGAGUGGAGGAGUCCCUGAGACCCCCGAAGACGUGCCUGCUGGGAAGCCUGCUCCCCACCCCCCUCCCCGCCACAGUGGCUCUGUGAUGAUGGCUCCAGACCCUGGCGGCUGACCACUGGCCGACAGGUAUGUCCAGGCCCCCAACAGCCCAGUGGAGGCAAAGCAGAGUGGCCGCUGGCUGGCUCGGGUUUCGAGCUGCUCAGCCUGGGGGCCACUAUACUGAGGACAUCCACGUGGAGCACCGCCCUCCUUUGCUCAAUGGGAGGAAGUCAGGUGGGAGAGGGAAGGGGCUGGGCUGUCCCUGGUCCCUCUAUCUGGGCACCAGGCCCGGGCUGGAGCACCAAGCCACACCAGGUUCGUGAGGACCCACCGCCCACCAAGGGUGGGACAGAGAGGUGUACCAGAAUGUCCUAGGAAAGUGAGAGGGUGAAGCAGGAAACACCGCCUCUGGGGUCUCUGGCAGGGUGUGCUCUGCACGCACCCAUCUAAUGGCUCCUGAGUGGAGCUGUCCCCUGGCUGGAGCAUGGGGAAGGAGACAAAAAUCACAGCUUCUGAACAAGUGGUUGGGAACUUACUGGAAAAUUCAGUCAAGUAUGAAAGGUGUCACUUUAGAGAACAAAAACUGGCUUAUGUAUUUCUCUGGAAGAUGUUCUCUCACAUCCACCCGUCCCCCGGACUCCCCGCAAACAGGCAGCUGGGCCUGGCUCGUGUGACUGUAGAGCCAGGGGACACGAGAGCGAAGGCAGGGCCUGUGGACGGGGGGCCGCUGCGAACGGAAGGAGGAAGGCACAAGAAGAACCAACUGAAUCUGAGAGCAGAGGCGGGGGCAGGGCCGGGUGGAGAAGGAAGCCACUGGCCGAGCGACUCAACCUGAAACAGCCGGGACCCGCGUCCCUGUCUACACGCGGACCGCAGCUGCAGGAAGGGCGAGCCAGGCGACUUCCCUGGCAGGAGGUACAGAGGCUGUGCGUGUGUGGGGCUGCUGGCUGGAGGAGGAGGCAAGAAACAACGCUGCCUCUAACGUUAUAUAUUAAAAAUAUCCAUGGUUCUUAUG